rnacentral:rRNA from 1 species
CGCGUAGGCGGCUUUAUAAGUCAGAUGUGAAAUCCCACGGCUUAACUGUGGAAGUGCAUUUGAAACUGUGAGGCUUGAGUAUCGGAGGGGAGUGUGGAAUUCCCGGUGUAGAGGUGAAAUUCGUAGAGAUCGGGAGGAACACCGGUGGCGAAGGCGACACUCUGGACGAAUACUGACGCUGAGGCGCGAAAGCGUGGGGAGCAAAC